GGCGGUGUAGCUCAGUUGGUCAGAGCACACGGUUCAUACCCGUGGCGUCACUGGUUCGAAUCCAGUCACCGCUA
rnacentral:tRNA from 1 species